rnacentral:rRNA from 1 species
CGAACGCUGGCGGCAGGCCUAAUACAUGCAAGUCGAACGGCUCUUCGGAGCAGUGGCGGUCGGGUGAGUAACGCGUGGGAAUGUGCCCUUAGGUACGGAACAACACAGGGAAACUUGUGCUAAUACCGUAUGUGCCCUUCGGGGGAAAGAUUUAUUGCCUUUGGAGCAGCCGCGUUGGAUUUGCUAGUUGGUGAGGUAAAGGCUCACCAAGGCUACGAUCCAUAGCUGGUUUGAGAGGAUGAUCAGCCACACUGGGACUGAGACACGGCCCAGACUCCUACGGGAGGCAGCAGUAGGGAAUCUUGCGCAAUGGGCGAAAGCCUGACGCAGCCAUGCCGCGUGAAUGAUGAAGGUCUUAGGAUUGUAAAAUUCUUUCACCGGGGAAGAUAAUGACGGUACCCGGAGAAGAAGCCCCGGCUAACUUCGUGCCAGCAGCCGCCGUAACAC